UGCAGUCGAGCGGGGGAAGGUAGCUUGCUACUGGACCUAGCGGCGGACGGGUGAGUAAUGCUUAGGAAUCUGCCUAUUAGUGGGGGACAACAUCUCGAAAGGGAUGCUAAUACCGCAUACGUCCUACGGGAGAAAGCAGGGGAUCUUCGGACCUUGCGCUAAUAGAUGAGCCUAAGUCGGAUUAGCUAGUUGGUGGGGUAAAGGCCUACCAAGGCGACGAUCUGUAGCGGGUCUGAGAGGAUGAUCCGCCACACUGGGACUGAGACACGGCCCAGACUCCUACGGGAGGCAGCAGUGGGGAAUAUUGGACAAUGGGCGCAAGCCUGAUCCAGCCAUGCCGCGUGUGUGAAGAAGGCCUUAUGGUUGUAAAGCACUUUAAGCGAGGAGGAGGCUACUUUAGAUAAUACCUAGAGAUAGUGGACGUUACUCGCAGAAUAAGCACCGGCUAACUCUGUGCCAGCAGCCGCGGUAAUACAGAGGGUGCAAGCGUUAAUCGGAUUUACUGGGCGUAAAGCGCGCGUAGGCGGCUAAUUAAGUCAAAUGUGAAAUCCCCGAGCUUAACUUGGGAAUUGCAUUCGAUACUGGUUAGCUAGAGUGUGGGAGAGGAUGGUAGAAUUCCAGGUGUAGCGGUGAAAUGCGUAGAGAUCUGGAGGAAUACCGAUGGCGAAGGCAGCCAUCUGGCCUAACACUGACGCUGAGGUGCGAAAGCAUGGGGAGCAAACAGGAUUAGAUACCCUGGUAGUCCAUGCCGUAAACGAUGUCUACUAGCCGUUGGGGCCUUUGAGGCUUUAGUGGCGCAGCUAACGCGAUAAGUAGACCGCCUGGGGAGUACGGUCGCAAGACUAAAACUCAAAUGAAUUGACGGGGGCCCGCACAAGCGGUGGAGCAUGUGGUUUAAUUCGAUGCAACGCGAAGAACCUUACCUGGCCUUGACAUAGUAAGAACUUUCCAGAGAUGGAUUGGUGCCUUCGGGAACUUACAUACAGGUGCUGCAUGGCUGUCGUC
rnacentral:rRNA from 1 species